UACGUAGGGUGCAAGCGUUGUCCGGAAUUAUUGGGCGUAAAGAGCUCGUAGGCGGUCUGUCACGUCGGCUGUGAAAACCCGAGGCUCAACCUCGGGCCUGCAGUCGAUACGGGCAAACUAGAGUACUGCAGGGGAGACUGGAAUUCCUGGUGUAGCGGUGAAAUGCGCAGAUAUCGGGAGGAACACCCGUAGCGAAGGCGGCACUCUGGGCCGGAACUGACGCUGAGGAGCGAAAGCGUGGGGAGCAAACAGG
rnacentral:rRNA from 1 species